UGUCGUGCGCCGUCGCCGCCGCACCUGGGCAUCGCUGCUGCAAGCUCACGUUGCCGCGUCGCUGUGCCAUCAUCACCAUGGAUCUUCUCUGUUCGUGACCUAAGCUAAGGGAGGAGAGAUGAACGCGUCGAAGAGGGGCAUAACUUGGGUCCCGUCGCCGCCGUCCAUGGACCUCGAGCCGCGUUGCUGUUACCGGCAAGAGGGGGAAGACGCGAGCUGGAGAAGCAAGAUGAGUCCUUCUGCCUCCGUUGCUUUGGUCCGCUGAGAAAGAGAAGGUGCUGCCUUUGUGCUUCCCUGUCGCCGACGAACACGGAGAAGAGGAGCUGUGGCCGCAUCACUACCGUUUAGAGGACUGUGCUUGGCCGCCGUUGUACCGCCCUACUUCACCGUGGCUGAGCUCUGCCAUUCCCUACCCCUUUUGGUGUGUGAUGUUGUUACGGGAAUCGCUAUAGGAAGAGGAGCAGGCUGAGUCACCAUGAUUUGGGCCGCUCUGACUUCCGGGAUCACCGACGGAGCUCCGGGCUGAGCUUCUCCCACUUGAGACCCUGCUGCCGCUGCUGGAAGAGUUUGCCGUUGAGACACCGGAGUUUCUGGCA